rnacentral:sRNA from 1 species
AACUCACUGCAGUCUCCAACUCCUGGCCUCAAGUGAUCCUCUCACCUCACCUCAGCCUCCUAAAGUGCUGGGACUGCAGGCAUGAGCCACUGUGCCCAGCUUAUUUUUUACAGUGUUUUAUAUUUUGCACACUUGACUCGCUGGAGGGCUAACAGCUACUCUGAGGUAGGCGAGGUUGAUGCUCCCAUUUCUCAGACAUGGAAAGUAAGGCACAGAGAAGCGAAUUGAUUUGCCCGAAAUCACAUAUCAAAUUAGUCACAUACCAGGGACCACCCAGACUUCUUGAUUCCUAGGCCGGCACCCCCUACUCUUCCCCAAAACCUGCCACCUUAGCAUCCAGCCAAGGGAGGUGACUCUGCCUUAGAGGCCUUUUCUUAUCUGGGUUAGCCAUGCCAAGGCACCCCUGGGAGCUAGGUGGGGAAGGGGCUAUCCUGCCAACCCCCUUCCCGCUCCAGAUCAGCAUCGCCACACUCCGGCUGUUUGAGGAGCUGCUGCAGAAGCCCCACGAGGGGAUCAUCCGCAGCCUGGUUCUGCGCAACCUUGAGGGCCGCCCUUACGUGGCCUGGGGCUCACCAGAGCCUGAGAGCUAUGAGGACACCCUAGACCUGGAGGAAGACCCCUACUUUACUGACAGCUUCCUGGAUUCCAACUUUCCACCUCGUGCAAAGCCUCGCCUAGCUCCUGCCACCAGUUACGAUGGCAAAACAGCAGUGACGGAGAUCGUCAACAGGUGGGGAGCAAGUUAGGCAGUCUGAACCACUUGAGUUUUACUCUUUUUUUUUUUUUUUUUUGAGAUACCGUCUCCAUCAUCCAGGCUGGAGUGCAGUGGCACAAUCUCGGC